AUUGAACGCUGGCGGCAUGCCUUACACAUGCAAGUCGAACGGCAGCACGGGGCAACCUGGUGGCGAGUGGCGAACGGGUGAGUAAUGCAUCGGAACGUGCCAUUGAGUGGGGGAUAACGUAGCGAAAGUUGCGCUAAUACCGCAUAUUCUGUGAGCAGGAAAGCAGGGGACCGCAAGGCCUUGCGCUCUUUGAGCGGCCGAUGUCAGAUUAGCUAGUUGGUGAGGUAACGGCUUACCAAGGCGACGAUCUGUAGCGGGUCUGAGAGGAUGAUCCGCCACACUGGAACUGAGACACGGUCCAGACUCCUACGGAGGGC
rnacentral:rRNA from 1 species